rnacentral:rRNA from 1 species
UACGUAGGGUGCAAGCGUUAAUCGGAAUUACUGGGCGUAAAGCGUGCGCAGGCGGUUGUGCAAGACCGAUGUGAAAUCCCCGGGCUCAACCUGGGAAUGGCAGUGGAUACUGGGAGGCUAGAGUGUGUCAGAGGAUGGUGGAAUUCCCGGUGUAGCGGUGAAAUGCGUAGAGAUCGGGAGGAACAUCAGUGGCGAAGGCGGCCAUCUGGGACAACACUGACGCUGAGGCACGAAAGCGUGGGGAGCAAACAGG